rnacentral:rRNA from 1 species
GACGAACGCUGGCGGCGUGCUUAACACAUGCAAGUCGAACGCUGAAGCUCAGCUUUUGUUGGGUGGAUGAGUGGCGAACGGGUGAGUAACACGUGAGUAACCUGCCUCCUUCUUUGGGAUAACGCCCGGAAACGGGUGCUAAUACUGGAUAUUCACUGGUCUUCGCAUGGGGGUUGGUGGAAAGGGCUUUUCUGGUGGGGGAUGGGCUCGCGGCCUAUCAGCUUGUUGGUGGGGUGAUGGCCUACCAAGGCUUUGACGGGUAGCCGGCCUGAGAGGGUGACCGGGCACAUUGGGACUGAGAUACGGCCCAGACUCCUGCGGGAGGCAGCAGUGGGGAAUAUUGCACAAUGGGCGCAAGCCUGAUGCAGCGACGCCGCGUGAGGGAUGGAGGCCUUCGGGUUGUGAACCUCUUUCGCUCAUGGUCAAGCCGCAACAAUGGUUGUGGUGAGGGUAGUGGGUAAAGAAGCGCCGGCUAACUACGUG